AUUUGAUUCUGUCUCUUCUUCCCCGGGAGCAAGAGAAUAGCCACAACCCCUGGAAAACCUCAGCCAGGUCAAGGAGAGCUCAAGAUGACCUUGGGAGCCCAGCCUCCCUCUUUGUUAUCGCCGGCUGAACGGCUGCGCAGAAUUAAAAAGGGGCCAUGAAGAACUAAAGAGGACUUUCUGUGUGAGAUUGUGAUGCACUCUGUGGCCAAGAAACAGGCAUUGAAGGAGUGGCGAGAGAGAGAGAGAGAGAGAAGAGGGACCAAAAGGAGAACGCAGCAUGCCAAAAUGAAACAAUGGAGUGGCUCUUAAACGUUAUGGAGUACCAAGUUGACACACUCUAGAUGAUACUAGCACUGCAAACCAACCAGCUCUGCAUCCACCCUCCCCUGCAGCCGUUAUCACAAAACUCUUUCCCAUGUGCCCCCCAGACACCACCAACACACUCUUAUCAACCUCCUGGCUCCAGUCUGUACCCGUGGCAUUCUACUCCUCCCCCUGUCACAGUCCAGCACUGCGAACUCCCAGUACCCACUGCACUCAACACCCUCUGAAGUACCCACUGCACUGUACUCCAAAGGAAAAGGUUGAAUAUGAUCCCUGGACAUACACAAAUCUUUAACCAUCCUGGGACCCGACCUCCUCCUGGGACCUUACCUUCCCUCAUCCCCCUCAGUGAUGAGGUGUUUUUUUGUUUGUCUCUCUCCUCCAGUUGUUGUUUUUAAUAAAAGAAUUGUGUUGGUUUGAAAGAAA